rnacentral:snoRNA from 1 species
CUGGAUACUGACAACCGCGGCUGGUAACAAAAAAAUCGCCUUGUCGUCUCAUGCCUACGAUGGGCUAAAGAAGCACUGUGGCGAAACAUGCACUGGGUGGCCAUUGCGUCUGCGGUAGACCCGCCGAUUCCACAGCCCAGAAACAUC